UUAUCUCUCAUAUUAAAGCCAUAUAGCUAUAAAACUUUAUUCACGCCUCCACCAUCUCCUCCAUUUACUCUGCAUCUCUCACUCUUCUUCACCCAUUCGGUCGCCGCCGCCGCAACUAUUUCUCUAUCUUUCUCAGAGAUUUGUUGCUAGUUCAUCAUCAUCUUUAGAACAAGAAAGAUGGGGGAUUUGAUAUCAAUUGAUAAGCAGUGGGUUUCAUUUUCCUCAAAUAGGUUUUGGUGGUUUACCUCAAACAACUUGUGUGAAGUUGUUGAACACUAUUUUCUUCGUCUGCAAGUAUUUUAGUAUUAAUGGUGCUCAGAGGUUUGUUGGAUUUGAACAAAUCAAUUUUACAUCACAGAGCUCCAAAAUAUACCCUUGGAAAAAAGGACACAAAUUUAUCAUUUUCGGAGGAAGAAACCACACCCAUUCUGAGAUAAUAUUUACAUUUUACAUUUUUGUUGUAAUGGAAAUGAUAAAACAGUAUCUGAAUUAAUAUGUAUUUUUAGUAAUCCUAUUAUGUGCAAUUUACUCCACUUUCUUAAAGAUGAUGAUUUAAAGGAAAUUUCUGAACAAAA